UACAGAGGUCCCGAGCGUUGUUCGGAUUCAUUGGGCGUAAAGGGUGCGUAGGCGGCUUCCUAAGUUUGAUGUGAAAUCCUGGGGCUCAACCCUGGAACUGCAUUGAAUACUGGGAGGCUAGAGUACUGGAGAGGAAACUGGAAUUUACGGUGUAGCAGUGAAAUGCGUAGAGAUCGUAAAGGAAGACCAGUGGCGAAGGCGAGUUUCUGGACAGUUACUGACGCUGAGGCACGAAGGCCAGGGGAGCAAACGGG
rnacentral:rRNA from 1 species